UGGUGGUGUUCUUCUUUUUCCACUCCAGAAUUUAAUAAUCAAUGGGCGACAAAAUUUCUUGGUAGUUGAAUCCCCAAAUAAAUGCUGUUUCAUAACCCGAAGAGAGAGAGAGAAGAACACAGGCUUUCCUUUCCCUUCCUCUAUAUAAAUUCAGAGCCCUCCCUUUAUUGCCUUAAGCUUGCUAAUCA